rnacentral:rRNA from 1 species
UGGGGGAUAUUGCACAAUGGGGGAAACCCUGAUGCAGCGACGCCGCGUGAGUGAAGACGGCCUUCGGGUUGUAAAGCUCUGUCAACGGGGACGAUAAUGACGGUACCCGUGGAGGAAGCCACGGCUAACUACGUGCCAGCAGCCGCGGUAAUACGUAGGUGGCAAGCGUUGUCCGGAAUUACUGGGUGUAAAGGGAGCGUAGGCGGGGAGCCAAGUUGGAUGUGAAAUACCGCAGCUUAACUGCGGGGCUGCAUCCAAAACUGGUUCUCUUGAGUGAAGUAGAGGCAGGCGGAAUUCCUAGUGUAGCGGUGAAAUGCGUAGAUAUUAGGAGGAACACCAGUGGCGAAGGCGGCCUGCUGGGCUUUAACUGACGCUGAGGCUCGAAAGCGUGGGGAGCAAACA